rnacentral:tRNA from 1 species
GCGGGGUGGAGCAGUUCGGUAGCUCGUCGGGCUCAUAACCCGAAGGUCGCAGGUUCAAAUCCUGCCCCCCGCA